UGAGCACACUUGAAUUCGUUCAUUGUCGAUGGCAUUAGGAUGCAUAAAUCACCUUUCAGACUUUUGAUGAAUUAUGCUUGUGCUAGAUAUUGUCAACCAGCUCCCAAAAUCAAAGGGUAUAGAACAUCCUUGCACAUGCUCAUACAAUGCAUGAUCACAUCAGUUGAGCCUACACGAAUUUCUACUGUAAUCCAAUCUAAUUGUUUGGAAUGGCCACUCAUAACCUUUAAUGAUGGUCCAUCAUACAGAUGCAAUGAGCUAGUUGAUUUAUGACAAGUGUCAAUGAUAGUUGUGGUUGAACAUGGAUCGCAAAAUGUAAUCAGUUCUAUAUUAUCAACUAUGGUAGCACUGAU
rnacentral:lncRNA from 1 species